UCUCAUUCUCCUCUCUAGAUCAUUACCAGAUCUGAGUUUCCUGCAUCAGGCUGGAUUAGCCUUGCCCUGUCUCUUCAGCUCUCCCAGUUGUCUGCCCAUUUCCACAAGUGUAGCUGAUGAUUGAGAAGUGAUGUGGGCUCGUCCUCAUCCUCCAGGGUAGGAGGAAGGUUCCCACUUCUGUGUUCUCUUCCUGUCUCUUGGAGCCUUGGAGAGAUCCGGCAGCUCAGCAUUCAACACCAGCAUUUAAACAGGUCACUGCAGUACCGAGGUACCUUCUCUGCCCCCUCCCUUCCUUUUUCCUGCUUUGGCAGAUUGCCUGGCCUGAUUGACUGCAUUUUGAUUCAUCUCUGAUAUUUAAUCUCCUCCCUGGAGAAAGAUGGGCAGGAGAGAUGCUGUUGCUGCCCUGAGGUAGGAAUCAAGAGCUGUAGAGUGUUAUUUCAUUCAGCCCAAGAAAGCCCUCUAGCAGCACAGAGGACAUGUUGUGCUGCAGUGAAAGGCGGCUUUGAGAGAUCAUGUAAUCUGCCCUCGCCUGGCCUUGUGCUGUCUCUUGCUGUAGGACUGGAAUCAAAAUACCAUCUCAGAUACUGAGCCCAAUUGAUUGGAGCUGUUUCAACCAAUUCCAUCUCUGUGUUCUGGAGGAAGACCUUUUUCCCCCUCCUUCCCCAUCCUGGUCAGAUAACAUCCAGGAAACUCGAUGUCCAGACAGGAGGUUUGUCUUUUGCACGGAGGUGACCCUGUGAAGGAGGCAAUCAACUUCAGAGCAAGUGGGGCGGGUGGGCUGAGGAUGUUGGAACAGGAGAGUGACAGGAGGGAGCAGGUGAAAUGAUGUCCCCCAUCUCUCUCAGCCAGAAGGGUUGUUGGGGUCAAAGGCUUGGAAUACAGAUGAGCAGCUGUGAGGCAGAGGCUGGAAAGAGCUUUUUUUGUUCGUGCUGAAUAAUGCUUGGUGCAUUGGCUGCCUGUGUCUAGCUGUAUGCUGUCCUACAGGGAUGAGAGCUGUGCCCUGUUGUCCUUCCUCUUCCUCUGUCCCUGGGAUUUUCCACUGGGUUGAUGCCUCUUAAGGCUGUGCUGCCUCUGGGGCUCUUCUUAAAGGACACUGACUGAUGAUGGGCUUUGAGGCAGUGAGGUUUAGCCUCUUCUCUCACAUCUAGAAAGGUGUUUUUCUUUCUGGUUUGCCACUGCAAGAGAAGGAUGGGGGUUCCAAGAGUUACUUGGGCCAGUCUUGAGUGAAACAGUAGGGAUCAGAGCUCUGAUACAGGUUGAGUUCUGCCAAACAAGAAUUUCUGUGCUCUUCCCUGUUGCCUGUGUCCCUUGGCAGAAAGGAAAUAGGAUGAGAGCUCCCACUGAAUGUGCUAAUUUCUCCUGGGCCAUAUCUCUCCAAGGUCACUCGCUUGCAAUUGCAUCCAUAUGGGUGGUGCCUCUGCCUAGCUGAGCUCUUGGAAGCCCACCAGGAUACAGAUUUCAUGUGACUGUGAAAUACAGAGAGUUUAUAUGGCCAUGUAAAAUGCUACUCUUUACCAGGAUACAGCCUCCUGGGGCAGGUCUGUGAAGGGAGCCAAGUCCUAUGUCCUACUUAAUUUCUUCUGACCACUGCUGUCCUAGGCCAGCUAACAUAUCAAAGGCCUGUUGAGAGCAGGGGCCUGUGAUCUUUUUUUGCUUUAAGUGCUUGUUUCUGUUUGUUGGGAGUGCCUGGUGUCUUCAGGGAAUGGUGGUAGGAGGUAGUGCCCUCAGCCUUGGCUGUGGCUGUGCUCCCUCCUGAUACUCUGUACAAUCUUCACUGCCCCAGUACUCUGGAGGAAGCUGACUGCAGCUUUAUUUACAUGCCAUGGGUGGGGAUAUAAUAAAAGGAAAUGAAGAAGCCCACACUGACAGCAAUGGCUUUUGUUUGUCACCAGCAACACUAUGAGUCUGGCCUCACUAAAAAGCAAAUACUGAAUGGCCAGCUGCCAUCCCGUCUUGGGCUCUGGCUGUAUGCUCUUGUCUGGAUAGAGGAGCAGAAUUAGGCCCAUUUUCUCACUGCAGGUCCUGCUGCAUAAGGCAGUGGGAAUGAUGUGAUGCUCUUCCCCAGGAUUUAGCUUUGGAUGAGGCACGCAUUUAACCGCAGUAGGUCGGGCUCUCCAGGCGUUCUCAGGGUAAGACCCCCUCCUCUUUCCAGAUGGUGAAAUGUCUCUGAAGAGUUCUCACUCUGGAUAGACUUUUUUAUUUAACUGCUUGGCCUCUGCCCAAGGGAGUCUGUGUGGCUUUAUGGGAAAGGAUUUUUAGUUGAGCAGAGCAGUGUUGUGCACGUUUGAACAUGUGUACCCAGUGGAUCAUUCAGCUGGGGAUGGAAUUGCUCUGUUGACCGCAAAUGUUUGUGCAUAUGCAUUGAUGGCACUUAUCUGUACAAUUAUAAUCCUUACUCAGUUGAAGCUUCUGGUUUUAUACAUCUGCUUGUUAUUCUGUUAAACCUGUUACCACCUCCUUUCCUGCUGCAUCCUCAUCUUUAUCAUCUUGUACCAUGCACCCAGUUGGAAAGCGGCUGUGCCACUGGGCCUUGCUGCCCAGCUGCACUUGUGGGAAAUAAGUGAUUUCCUUGGGGUGGCUGAGUGGUGGAACAGCAGGGAUGAGGACCCAGACCCUCCCCUUGGGGCCCAGAAAGGAUCAUGAUUUUUAUAUGGCUCCCUGAAAGGAUGUUUAUACUUGAAUCUGCAGGGAGAUAAACUAGAUCUGACUUCCAGGAGAACAACUUUUUUACUCCUUUUUUCUUCUAAAUGGAUGGGAGGAAGACUGGAUGAGGAGAGAAGGAAGUAUUCCGAGGUGAGCUGAGGGUGGUAUGGGAGUGGUGAGGGCCUGUUGUAAAUCUAAGGAAACACAGGGAAGGAAGCAUGCAGAAAUAGUCUGGAUCCAGUUGAUGGGUUGUGCAUGGCCCCUGCUCUGAAAAGGUAAUGUAAGUGCAGUGUUUAGUACUCUGAAAAAGCAUCCUUGUACUGUAGCAUUUAUCAAGGCUUCAGGUCAUUUUUCAGUCAUACCCUAAAUCCUGCUUUAUGACCUUCAGGAAACUCACUGUUACCUGUAUGUGCCUCAGGUCUUCCCCCAUCUCUCCUUGGAUGGAUCAGUUCUCUCCAUGGCAGCAUCUUGCUCUUGUGGCCUGAGUACAGCCCAGGCUUUGGGGUGGUAAAAACUCACAGCCUUCGUGGCUAAAAGCUAAAGCUUCCAAAGGGUCUGAGCUUCAUUCCAUGUGGAGGUACAUCUGGGAGCGAAGGGGAAGAUGUAAGGAAAACUUUUGGCUGUAAAAUGUAGCAACGUUUUUUGGGUUUUUUGGUUUGGUUUUUUUUUUGUUCAGCGCUUUUUUGGGCCAAGCAAGGCCCUGACUGCUGCUGUUGCUUCUCUCUGUCAGCUUCUUCCAUUGGAAACUCCAGUUCCCUUCUCUCCUCUACCUUGGAUAAAUAACUGCCAUCUCAAGACCUGCAGGAAUGCCAGAUGGAAAGUGUUCUCUUCCUUUCAGCCUGACUGGACACACAGGGCUCAUUUACACCUUGCUGGCAAGUGUUAGUUGUUCAAGAGGACUGGGCACUGCCUCCUCCACGGGAGUGGAGAGAAGCCAGGCUCCAGGACACAAAAGAAGUAAAGGAGAAGGGAUUUGUGUGGCAGAUGAAUGCAGUUGAUGUGCCAGUGCUGGCAGUGCAAAGGUGUUCUGUAGAUCCUGAGGUGCAGAAGACAAUCUGCUCGGCCUCCCAAAUAUGCUGGUUUUGUUUAGGCCUCUUCAAACACUCCUCAGACAUCUGUUUCAGAGCAACUCUCACAAGCAAACACCUCAGGGAGGAAAAUUUAACUUGCCACAAGUUUGAGGCUACAAAGCAAAUUAGUGGCAUGGUUUGUGAUAUGACCAGAAGAUGUAAUUUCUCUGUCUGUGCUUGGGCACUGGUGGGUACCACUAAUUUUCCAGGGACAGAUAUACCUUAAAGGGAAAAACAACUCUGUUCUUGUAACCCAUUCAGCAGCAGCCUUCUCUUCUUGAUAUAACCACUUAGGGUGCUUUUAGAAGGAAUGGGGAACUGGCAGUGGUGGGAAUGCCUACAGGAAAAAAGUCAGAGUGUGGAAACACACUGGUACGCAGGAGGAGUAAUAUGGAUGGCAGCAAGAUGCCCAGGAGGCCACCUGUGUGCUAAAACCUCUCCCUGGGACACCAGCAGCCUUUGGUAGAACUUUGGUAGAAGCAGAGACACAAAGUGCAGAGUGAUCCUAAUCUACAACCCUUGUGGAAGCAGCAGAAAGAGAACUUGUCCAUCAUCAAGCUAUUUUCAAACAGCACAGCUCUUAGGCCCGGGGAAAAACUCACUGCACAAGGAGCGAGCCCACCUCUUCAUCCUUCUCCUGCACCACUGGACUGGCUGCAAACAAAACAAGGGGCCUUGCAAGGCAGUGGUGUAGUCCCUCCAAUGUGCUGGGAAGUGCCUUAUAGAAAGGAAUGACUGGGAACCUCUUGGAAGGAGAGAGGGAUUGAUGAGCACUGAGAGGGAACAUGACCUGCCUGAAAUGUCAUGUCUGGUGAUCAUGAAGGUUUCAAAGCGAUUGGAAAUCCUGGCUCAGCCACAAUUUCUUUUUGGUUUUGUUUGAAGAUCCCCUGCAUCUGUGAGGAGCGGUUCUGCUGCCAACUUCACGAUACCACCUCUUCCUCCAUAGUGGAAAGACUUCUGGGCCUGCUGAGAGCUGCCUGGUCGUGUGGGAUGGUGGCAGGGAUGUGACUACAGAGGAAUGCAUAUGCUUGUCUCCUGGGAGCCCCCACAGCCCUGCAGAAGUGCUCUCAAUAGCUACCAGGAACGUGACUUGCACAGAUCCUGUUGCUUAUCUCCUAUGUGAGGAAGAAAAUGUCCCUAUCCAGCAGUGAGUUUGGUCCCAGCUGGCUCUGUUGGGCCCUGCAUCAGCCUCCAGAAAGCCUGUGUCAUGGGACAAGAGACCUUUCAGCUGGAGAAGCCAGCCUCAAGCUUGGCCCAGAUUCUUAGGAACACUGAUUGUGUGGCUGGUGGAGAGCACACAAUGGGAAUGUCAGCAUGAGAAGUGGAAGAGAAACCUGGGUCUCCCAAGUACCAGACUGGCAGCUCCUCCAGGGAUUGCUGAUUUUCCUCUGGUUGCUGUGUGAUGCUCAACUCUUCUGUUUGUGAAGUGGAGACUGUGCUGGGGCUCAGCUGAUGAAGAAAAUCCCCAUGUUUUGGAGGCACUUACUGCAAGCAAUUGAUGAAAAUGAAAUAUUUAAUGGGGGUUUAUACCUGUGGACUUGACGACACUGCUGCAUCUCAAGAGCAAAACCGUGAUGACAUCCGGAUGGAUGGUCAUGAGGCCAAUCACCUCCCCAGCUUCAAUGGUGCUUCUCUUUUGGAGUGUUUCCUCACUUGGCUUGGCUACAGCAUCCCUACAAGUAGCAGGACCUCCUUGCCUGGUGGAAGCAGGCGGGAGUGUUGUCCCACAGGUGUUGUCACAUCUCAGAGGAAUUUCCCACCGGGAUUUCUGCGGCACUUUCAACGGCAAGGGAAGGAACUGAGUCUGAAUUUUGCAUGACAUUGUUGUUGCAAGGUGUCCACAGGUGCCCAGAAGCCAACACGGCCUCCAAAGGAAGCUGGGAACAUUCUGCCAUCCCGGAGAAGACAUGUCUGGGGCUGACCCAGGACUGUAAUCCAGCCCUGCAGUUUAUGUGCAGCCCCAGUGAAACACUUUUGCCCUAUGAAGAGCAACCUCUGCCAAGAAUAAUGAAGAUAAUGAAGGUGCCACUUGCCUGGCUGUGACAGUCCCUUCCUGCUGCCACCCCAGCACCACAAGCAGCUGAGGAGGAGGAUGUGAUUAGUGUUUUGUGCCAUGGGAUGUCAGCUGAGGGAUGAGAACUGGGUGCCAAGAGGAGGAAAGAGCUGCCACAGAUAGGUGAGGGCCAUCCCUUUCACACAUGAAGCACAGCGAGCCCAAACCGGAUCCCCAUUCUCCAUGGAGAUCAGCCUGCAGGGAUGACGAGAGAAGCAGAGUGAGUCCCCAGCCCUCUCCAGAGCAGAACUGCAAAACCACAGGCUUCAGCAAAGCCCUUUGAGCCAGCCCACUUCCCAGCAGAGUGACUGUCCCUUUCUCUACACUCAGGCCUGGAAGUAAUGACAGGAUAUUCUUCUCUGCAGACCUGCCUGACAGAGAGUGAGGAGGGAUCCAGAGUGAAGCCACAAAACUGAUCCUGAGGAAGAAACACAGCUUGCCUCCCAUCCUCCACCCCUGCAGACCCAAGGGGAGGGGCUGUCCGUGGAUGUCCCUUUGGGUCAGAAUCCUGGGCAAGGCAGCAUCCCUGGGUGCUCAGCAGUCUCUUUGAGAGACUUUUUGUUUAGGUUGGCUGCUGCUGAUCCCAGCCUGUCUUCAGCACACAGAUGCUUUUAACCUCCUGAGGAGGGGUCUUAGUGGCCAGCAGCUGCUGAGGACACUGCCACAAUUCAGCCAUGUCCCUGCUCAGGGCACAGACUGUAAACACAGUAGAGAAUCCAGGCCAUAUCCCAGCCCAGCUUGGCUGCCUGGCUUGAGGUCCUCAUCACCCAGAAUUUGGAGCUUGCCUCUUUUUCCAUUACCUCUAAGCAGAAAUGGUGAAUGUUUCGGUAAUGUUUCCUAAAAAUAAAAAUGUCAACAGAAAGAGCCAUUUAA